rnacentral:rRNA from 1 species
AUACGGAGGGAGCAAGCGUUAUUCGGAAUCACUGGGCGUAAAGGACGCGUAGGCGGGUUUGUAAGUCAGGUGUGAAAUCCUACAGCUCAACUGUAGAACUGCACUUGAAACUACAGACCUAGAGUAUGCAAGGGGCAGAUGGAAUUAGUGGUGUAGGGGUAAAAUCCGUAGAUAUCACUAGGAAUACCGAAAGCGAAGGCGAUCUGCUGGGACAUUACUGACGCUGAGGCGUGAAAGCGUGGGGAGCAAACAGAAUUAGAAACCCUAGUAGUCC